CCCAUAAAUUUUAAGUAAAAUUAAGUAUAUAAGUUUGUAUUUUAAUAGUGAUUAUAUUAAUUCUUAGAACAAAUAUGACAAUAUGGAGUAUUGGUGUAGUAGAAGAAUGCAUAUACAUCAACCAUCAGGCCCCAAGUUCGAAUCUGAACAAGGCCAUAGGGAGUUUUAUUUUUUUUCUGCCACUGUAAGAAAUUACCAAAUUAUCCUCAUCCUGAUCAGAUUUUUUUCUCUCUCUCUCUUUUAUUCUUGUCUUCUUCGAGUCUUCUAGAGCAGAGGCAGCGUUGAGAGUCCGCACCAAACCCUUGCACUGCCUCUCAUCGAUCUCCGCACCCUCCUUCUCAACCAAUGGCUACGUCGCUGUUCGUGUGGGUCGCUAUCAUCGGUGGCUUAUCGCUGUUCUUCUGCCACUGCUGCGAAUUCUUCCCCUGUCUCACAGUCGUUCCUCUGUCUCUGUCAUUGUUUCAAUCCUUCCGUCUUCACUGUUCGAAGUGCCUCCUCCUUUCUUGUUCGUGUGCUGUUGGUCUGUCUAAGAGCAGAGGCAGAGUUGAGAGUCCGCACCAAACCCUUGCACUGCCUCUCAUCGAUCUCCGCACCCUCCUUCUCAACCAAUGGCUACGUCGCUGUUCGUGUGGGUCGCUAUCAUCGGUGGCUUAUCGCUGUUCUUUUGCCACUGCUGCGAAUUCUUCCCCUGUCUCACAGUCGUUCCUCUGUCUCUGUCAUUGUUUCAAGUAUGCUGAAUCUCUUUCUUUUUCCUUGUUGCUUCGUUGUGUGCAAAGGCUUGGUCCUUCCGUCUUCACUGUUCGAAGUGCCUCCUCCUUUCUUGUUCGUGUGCUGUUGGUCUGUCUAAGGGUAUUUGGAGGAGGAGAAAUUGGAACGAUGGUUAGAGGUGAAUUUGUAAAUUCCCAAAAUUUCAGAUUUGUUAGCUAACGCUGAUCCUACCAACGACCUCUGAAGGGCAAUAUAGCUACAUUGGGUGGAAAUUUUGUUUGGUACUGUCACUUUUUGAUAUAAAUCUUUAAGUCGUAUGUAUUUUUAAUUUAAAAGAAAGAUUAGCUGCUCCACAUAGAUUGUUGUUAGGAUUUUAUUUUGAUUUACAUGCUGUUGUUGGCUGGAAGGAGCUAAGCUCCUGAUUGAUACUAUUUUCAAGAAAAUUUUGUUUUAGAAUUUUCAGAAGAUCGUAUUUACAGAGGAGGUGCUAUCAAAAUUUUUUUUUAAAAAAAAUGUUGAAGUCUGGUUAUGACAAUCAAUAUUAAAAGUGUUAGAAUUUCUAUAUAAUUUGAUUAUUUUUAAAAUGGAAGGAAUUUUUAUUUUAAGGCUUACGGGAAUGCAUGAUGUAGUUCGCACCCGUGCCAGUCACCCUCUAUUUUCGAGACGUGACAGAUUGGUAUCAGAGCUAGGGUUUUUAGAUAUCUAUGUGGAGCAAGAACUUUCUAGUGAGGUCUCAAUUAUCAUUAUGAACCCGGGCAUAAUUAUAAUUGAGGCAUCAUUAAAGGUUCUAUAAGAAGUUUUCGAAUAUCGUUUGUUUCUUGUGAUUGGUUUCUUUUGUUGUAUAAAACUGUAUUUGAAACUAAAUAUUUAUUUUAUCUCUUUUUAUAGUAAAUCAUGCCACUCAAACAUCUAAUAUCUACUAGGGGCUUUACUAGUAGACUUCUGGUAGAAUUUUUUUAUAGAUGAUGUGCCCUUGAGAUGUAAAGGACGGCAUUAGAAUAGGAUCAAGACUAGAGGUGGUUGAACCUUUGGGUUCCUCUAAGAUAUUCCUUCUAGAGAUGAACGAAUAAGUUUUCAGUCUGAGAAACAGGCUGUCCCUUCAACAUAUGUUGUGCUAAAGGGACCAUUUGUAGUAAAGUUGUCAGAAUUUUUAAAGCUAAAUCCUCUUUCCUUUUAGGGAAUCAAUAUACGAGAGGACCUAAUAUAAUUUUCUUAAAGGAAUUGAGAAGAGAUGUUGGGGCCUUGAGGUGCCCUAAUGUUCAGUAUGUCAAAUUUACAAUGUUUUAGCCUUAAGAAGUAGUGAGCAGUUUAGCAAUAAUAGUAAUAAUGAUAGUCCCACAUCUGCAUACAAUUAGGAUAUUGUCUUUGUCAUGGGAAGAGCUCAAAACUACCUUUCUGAAUCGAUAUAUGCCUUAAAGUACCAAAGAUGCAAAAAGUUGAAGAGCUUUUAACUCUAAAAUACAGUGAAGGAAUGUCAAUUAUAGAAAAUGAUUAGAAGUUCACAGAGUUAUCUUCUUUUGCUUCCUAUAUUGUACCAACUAAAAAGGAAUGGAUUAGCAGGUUUCUAUAUGGAUUGUUAGUAAACAUACAUGAUAAUAUAUCACCUAUGUUGGGUUGUGAUGUUACUUAUGCUGAGAUUAUUAAUAGCGCAUUGAGAAUUGAAAAUUGACAUAAAGUAGAGGAAGCAAUUUCUAAGAAAUGCAAGAGAGAGAACAAUGAGAAAUUUCCUAGUUCUUUCUCCAAAAGUCAUCAAUUUUUAGGUCAAUCUCACUUUCGUGCCAUGUAGUCUAGAUGUAGAUCAUAUGGUUUGUCAUCAGCAAGUACUCUUAUCGUGAGAUCUAAUCCUAGCCAUGUUAGGCCUCGAGCCUAGUCAGUUCCAAAUCCUAAAUCAAUCGGGUUACAUUAGAGUUCUUUGUGCUAGUUAUGAGAAAUAUUAUUUAAGGACCAUGCAAUGAGUGUUUGGUGCAUGCUUUGAAUGCUGGCAAAUGAGUGAUUUGAGAAGAAAUAUAUUCCGUCAAUCUCAAGUCAUGGGUUAGUUCAACUUCCUUCACGUCCUACUUCAUCUUUAGUCCUACUUAUUAGGACCACCUUACUUUAGUCAGUAAGGGUAUGUUUGGAAGAGGAAAUGAGAAGUGAGGAUAGUCUUCUUCAAGGAAAAGACUAGCGAGAGUUUAUGCUAUAACGAGACAGGUGCUAGAGUUUUAAAUGAUGUUGCUACAUGUGAAACUCCUUUUAUAUUACAAGGGAGUUUUAUAGAAAGAUCAUCUAAUUUAAUUUUAGCCUGGAAAGCCUAACGGUUAUUGCAAAAGGGUUGUCAAGGGUUCUUAAUAGUGGUCAGAGAUAUUGAAGAGCCCAUUGUAAGUUGGAUCGAGUUCCAAUUGUUCAAGAAUUUCUAGAUGUUCUUUUUCAAAAGAAUUACCUAGACUACCACAUGAUUGGGAGAUUGAAUUGCCCAUUGACUUGGUUUUUGAUACUCAAUCAUUUAUUAUUCUGCUUUAUAGAAUGGCAACUAUUGAGCUAAUAGAACUUAAAAUUCAAUUGCAAGAAGUAUUAGAUAAGGAAUUUAUCCGACCUGGCAUAUCUCCUUAGGAAGCACUAGUAUUCUUUGUAAGUAAAAAGGAUGGGUCAUUAAGACUUUGCAUCGAUUAUCAAUAGUUUAAUAAAGUGACAGUGAAAAAUAAGUACCCACUAUCCCGAAUCGAUGAUCUUUUUGAUCAGUCGCAAGGAGCCCAGUGUUUUUCAAAAAAAAAAAAUAGACUUGCGUUCGGGUUAUCAUCAAUUAAAGAUCAAAGAGGACAUACCUAAGAUUUCAUUUAGAACUUGAUAUGAUCAUUACAAAUUCCUUGUAAUGUCAUUUAACUUAACUAAUGCACUGGCAGCGUUCAUGGUAAAUCAGGUGUUUAGACCAUUCCUCGAUAAGUUCGUGAUCAUUUUUAUUGAUGAUAUUUUGAUAUAUUCAAAGAGCCCAGAAGAGCAUGAACAUCAUUUGCGGCUUGUUUUACAGAUGUUGAGGGAGUAACAACUUUAUGCCAAGUUCUCUAAAUAUGAAUUUUGGCUUGAUAAAGUGAUCUUUUUGGGACAUGUUUCUAAAGACGGUAUUCAGGUGGAUCCAAGUAAAGUAGAAGCAGUGCAUAAUUGGCCACAGCGUACUACAAUUACAGAAAUUCAUAAUUUCUUGGGUCUUGCAGGAUACUAUCAUCGUUUUGUCAAAGACCUUUGAAAAAAAAAAUAAAUAAAAUAAUAACUGCUCUGCUGACGAGAUUGACUUAUAAGAAUGUAUAGUUUGAAUAGGACGACAAGUAUGAAGAUAUUUUUGAAAAUUGAAGGAGUGUUUAACUUCAGCACCAAUCUUGAUUUUACCAUCAGGCAGCGGAGGGUAUGCAAUUUAUUGUGAUGCUUCUCGUGUGGGUCUAGGGCGUGUCUUAAUGCAACAUGGGUGAGUUAUUGCUUAUGCUUUAAGGAAACUUAAGGAGCAAAAGGAGCUUAAUCGUAGACAAAAGAGAUGGAUGGAGUUACUUAAGGAUUAUGCUUGUUUAAUUCUUUAUCAUCCUGUCAAGACAAAUGUCAUAACUGAUGUGUUAAGUAGAAAGCCAAUGAGUAGCUUAGUGCAUAUGACUUUGGCAAGAAGGCCUUUAGUGCAAGAAAUUAUUAAGUUUGAGUAGAGUGGAGUAAAGUUUGAAAUUAUUGAUAAGGUAGCAUUUUUAACUCAUGCACAAGCUCGUUCUUCUUUAAUAGAUCAGAUUAAGAGUGCUCAAUUCUUGGGUCCAAAGUUAUGCAAGUUAAAGGAAGCAGUCGUAGCAGGAAGUAACACUAAGUUCGAAGUUGACCAGGAAGAGAGUAUGGUUCUAUUUAUGUUAUUGUUGAUAGAUGGACUAAAUAAGCUCAUUUCAUUCCAGCGAAGAUGACUUAUAAUGUCGAUAAGUAUGUUUAAUUGUAUAUUGAUGAAAUUGUUCGAUUGUAUGGAGUCCCAGUAUCCAUAAUUUCUGAUGAAAGUUCUCAGUUUACUUCUCGGUCCUAGAGAUCAUUCCAAGAUGCUUUAGGUACUCAACUAAAUCUGAAUACUACUUUUCAUCCACAAACAUAUGGCCAGUCUGAGAGAACCAUUCAAAUACUUGAGUAUAUCCUAAGGUCUUGUAUUUUAGAUUUUGGUGGUAGUUGGGAUCGUUACUUAGCAUUAGUAGAGUUUGCCAACAAUAUCAGUUAUCAAGUUAGUAUACAAAUGGCUUCAUAUGAGGCACUUUAUGACAGAUUAUAGAUAAUGUAGAUCUCAUAAUGGAUGAUUUGAUGUUGGUGAUGCUAAGCUUUUGGAACCAGAUUUGGUGCAAGAUGCCAUUAAGAAAGUGGAAAUAAUUAGAGAAAGAUUAAUAACAGCUUAGAUUCGAUAGAAGUCUUAUGUUGAUAACCAAUAUUGAGAGUUAGAAUUUAUGGUCAAGGAUAAAGUAUUUCUUAAAGUGUCUCCUAUGAAAAGAGUGAUGAGAUUUUGGAAGAGAUGUAAACUGAGCCCAAGGUAUAUGGGCCCAUUUGAAAUCUUAGAGAGAAUUGGUGCAAUUGUUUAUCGUUUGGCAUUAUUGUUUUAAUUAUCAGGUAUUUAUCUAGUUUUCAUGUAUCAAUGCUACAGAAAUAUUAUAUGACUCUUCUCAUGUGAUAGAAACUAAACGGAUUCAGAUAGGCCCCGACUUAAUCUUACAAGGCAGUUCCUGUGGCCAUUUUGGAUAGACAAGUAAAGAAAUUACUUUGGUGAAAGUGUUGUGGCGUAAUCAUUCUUUAAAAAAAAAAAAAGUUACAUGGGAAGUCAAAAGUGAUAUGUGUGUUAGUAUCCACAUCUAUUUGAGGAUUGAGGCAAGCACAAAUUUAAAUUCGGAGGACCAAAUUUCCUAAGGGGGGGAGAAUGUGAUAACCCAUAAAUUUUAAGUAAAAUUAAGUAUAUAAGUUUGUAUUUUAAUAGUGAUUAUAUUAAUUCUUAGAACAAAUGUGACAAUAUGGAGUAUUGGUGUAGUGGAAGAAUGCAUAUACAUCAACCAUCAGGUUCCAAGUUCGAAUCUGAACAAGACCAUAGGGAGUUUUAUUUUUUUUCUGUCACUGUAAGAAAUUACCAAAUUAUCCUCAUCCUGAUCAGAUUUUUUUCUCUCUCUCUCUCUCUUUUAUUCUUGUCUUCUUCGAGUCUUCUAGAGCAGAGGCAGAGUUGAGAGUCCGCACCAAACCCUUGCACUGCCUCUCAUCGAUCUCCGCACCCUCCUUCUCAACCAAUGGCUACGUCGCUGUUCGUGUGGGUCGCUAUCAUCGGUGGCUUAUCGCUGUUCUUUUGCCACUGCUGCGAAUUCUUCCCCUGUCUCACAGUCGUUCCUCUGUCUCUGUCAUUGUUUCAAGUAUGCUGAAUCUCUUUCUUUUUCCUUGUUGCUUCGUUGUGUGCAAAGGCUUGGGUGAGCUGAGAUUUAUUUUGCUUCUUGUUCAUUUUAUUAUCAUCGGUAUGCUCAUCCGUUCUUCAUUAACUGUGACAGUCCUUCCGUCUUCACUGUUCGAAGUGCCUCCUCCUUUCUUGUUCGUGUGCUGUUGGUCUGUCUAAGAUUUGUUAGCUAACGCUGAUCCUACCAACGACCUCUGAAGGGCAAUAUAGCUACAUUGGGUGGAAAUUUUGUUUGGUACUGUCACUUUUUGAUAUAAAUCUUUAAGUCGUAUGUAUUUUUAAUUUAAAAGAAAGAUUAGCUGCUCCACAUAGAUUGUUGUUAGGAUUUUAUUUUGAUUUACAUGCUGUUGUUGGCUGGAAGGAGCUAAGCUCCUGAUUGAUACUAUUUUCAAGAAAAUUUUGUUUUAGAA